UACUCAGGGGGCUAGCGUUGCUCGGAAUUACUGGGCGUAAAGGGAGCGUAGGCGGACAUUUAAGUCAGGGGUGAAAUCCCGAGGCUCAACCUCGGAACUGCCUUUGAUACUGGAUGUCUUGAGUGUGAGAGAGGUGAGUGGAACUCCGAGUGUAGAGGUGAAAUUCGUAGAUAUUCGGAAGAACACCAGUGGCGAAGGCGACUCACUGGCUCAUUACUGACGCUGAGGCUCGAAAGCGUGGGGAGCAAACAGG
rnacentral:rRNA from 1 species